rnacentral:rRNA from 1 species
UCUACCCUACCCUGAACAUAUCUGAUCUCAAAAGCUAAGCAGGGUUGGGCCUGGUUAGUACUUGGAUAGGAGACCUAUUGGGUGCCAUAGGCUUUGGUGGGA